AAAUUGAAGAGUUUGAUCAUGGCUCAGAUUGAACGCUGGCGGCAGGCCUAACACAUGCAAGUCGAACGGUAACAGGAAGCAGCUUGCUGCUUUGCUGACGAGUGGCGGACGGGUGAGUAAUGUCUGGGAAACUGCCUGAUGGAGGGGGAUAACUACUGGAAACGGUGGCUAAUACCGCAUAACGUCGCAAGACCAAAGAGGGGGACCUUCGGGCCUCUUGCCAUCAGAUGUGCCCAGAUGGGAUUAGCUUGUUGGUGAGGUAACGGCUCACCAAGGCGACGAUCCCUAGCUGGUCUGAGAGGAUGACCAGCCACACUGGAACUGAGACACGGUCCAGACUCCUACGGGAGGCAGCAGUGGGGAAUAUUGCACAAUGGGCGCAAGCCUGAUGCAGCCAUGCCGCGUGUAUGAAGAAGGCCUUCGGGUUGUAAAGUACUUUCAGCGGGGAGGAAGGUGUUGUCGUUAAUAACCACAGCAAUUGACGUUACCCGCAGAAGAAGCACCGGCUAACUCCGUGCCAGCAGCCGCGGUAAUACGGAGGGUGCAAGCGUUAAUCGGAAUUACUGGGCGUAAAGCGCACGCAGGCGGUCUGUCAAGUCGGAUGUGAAAUCCCCGGGCUCAACCUGGGAACUGCAUUCGAAACUGGCAGGCUUGAGUCUUGUAGAGGGGGGUAGAAUUCCAGGUGUAGCGGUGAAAUGCGUAGAGAUCUGGAGGAAUACCGGUGGCGAAGGCGGCCCCCUGGACAAAGACUGACGCUCAGGUGCGAAAGCGUGGGGAGCAAACAGGAUUAGAUACCCUGGUAGUCCACGCCGUAAACGAUGUCUACUUGGAGGUUGUGCCCUUGAGGCGUGGCUUCCGGAGCUAACGCGUUAAGUAGACCGCCUGGGGAGUACGGCCGCAAGGUUAAAACUCAAAUGAAUUGACGGGGGCCCGCACAAGCGGUGGAGCAUGUGGUUUAAUUCGAUGCAACGCGAAGAACCUUACCUGGUCUUGACAUCCACGGAAGAAUUCAGAGAUGGAUUUGUGCCUUCGGGAACCGUGAGACAGGUGCUGCAUGGCUGUCGUCAGCUCGUGUUGUGAAAUGUUGGGUUAAGUCCCGCAACGAGCGCAACCCUUAUCCUUUGUUGCCAGCGGUCCGGCCGGGAACUCAAAGGAGACUGCCAGUGAUAAACUGGAGGAAGGUGGGGAUGACGUCAAGUCAUCAUGGCCCUUACGACCAGGGCUACACACGUGCUACAAUGGCGCAUACAAAGAGAAGCGACCUCGCGAGAGCAAGCGGACCUCAUAAAGUGCGUCGUAGUCCGGAUUGGAGUCUGCAACUCGACUCCAUGAAGUCGGAAUCGCUAGUAAUCGUGGAUCAGAAUGCCACGGUGAAUACGUUCCCGGGCCUUGUACACACCGCCCGUCACACCAUGGGAGUGGGUUGCAAAAGAAGUAGGUAGCUUAACCUUCGGGAGGGCGCUUACCACUUUGUGAUUCAUGACUGGGGUGAAGUCGUAACAAGGUAACCGUAGGGGAACCUGCGGUUGGAUCACCUCCUUA
rnacentral:rRNA from 1 species